CCUGCGACGAGUUGGAGGUAGCGGCUUCUCAGAUUUGCAUGACUACCCAUGGCGCCCCACUGUCUGGCAGGGCUCUCGUGGACCACGGGCUGCAGGAGGGAUGAGACUACACAACUUGAAGAGCAGAGCUGGUGCUGGAUUUUAGCCUCCACUUUUAUUCCCUGUUGCACACUCCUGUUUGGGGGCAAAGCAUGGCAGUGAUGGUCAAAAGGAGAUGACUCUUCAGUCUGAACAAAACAAGAUUACUGGUUGGAUGCAAGUUUUAUGGAUGAAUAAGUUGUAAGUCUCGAUUUAUUUUUCUUAUUGUUAAAUCAUUUACAUUUGCAAUAGGCAGAAUAAAUUCUCCCUUCUGCCUUCA
rnacentral:lncRNA from 13 species